rnacentral:rRNA from 1 species
AUACGUAGGGGACGAGCGUUGUCCGGAAUUACUGGGCGUAAAGGGCGCGCAGGCGGAUAUUUAAGUCAGCUGUAAAAGGCAUGAGCUCAACUCAUGUAUGCGGUUGAAACUGGGUAUCUAGAGUGCUGGAGAGGUAGGCGGAAUUCCCGGUGUAGCGGUGAAAUGCGUAGAUAUCGGGAAGAACACCAGUGGCGAAGGCGGCUUACUGGCCAGCAACUGACGCUGAGGCGCGAAAGCCAGGGGAGCAAACGGGAUUAGAUACCCCGGUAGUCCUGGCAGUAAACGAUGUAUGCUGGGUGUGGGAGUAGCGAUACCUCCGUGCCGAAGUUAACGCGAUAAGCAUACCGCCUGGGGAGUACGGUCGCAAGAUUGAAACUCAAAUGAAUUGGCGGGG